AAAAAAAUGUGCUAUAAUUUGGAAGAUUCUGUAUAUUUUACAUUUUUUUGUUCUUUCUUAAUAAAUUAAUCACACCUUUUAGACAAUUCAAAAUUGCUUGAAUUUAUCUCUGUUCAUUUGUUUGUGUAACAUCGCUUUUUAGAUUGAAACAGUUUUCAUAGGUGUUAUAAAUAAUAACAAACAUAUCAAAACAUGGAGUACCAUGGAAACAAUAACGUCAUCCAAACUAACAAGUUUUUUCUUUACAAACAUUUUUGAAAUGCAUGUUUUUAAAACAUGUUUGUAAAACAUGUUUUUUACUAAAAUUGUAGAUACAGUAGAGAACCGUUUAUCUAGUAUCCAGAUAACUGGGGAAAAAUUUGCUAGGCUAUCCCGCCUUUUUAAACUAGAACGAUAAUGAAAAAAAGUGGAAAUUUGAGAGAGGGCAGGGAAGUGAGGAACGUUUUAUUUUCUCAGAAUCGUUCUUCUGAUAAGCUGCUGUCAAUCAAACUCAGAGGAGUGGUAUACUGAUUUCGUUUUCUCUUUGAAUUAGGUGGGGAUGGGGAAAAUGCAUUGCACAUGCAUAUCAGUGAACAGAAGAUGAAAGAGAAAUAAAAAGUAAAAAUUUAUUUAUCUACUUAGGAUAGAUUAAUAAAACAAUAUUUUUCUUUUGAAUACAUUCUGAUUCUUUAGAAGUGCGGUAUCAUUUGCAAGUUUUUCUUGAUGUGGAAUCACAUCUGCUUUCAUUAAAAAUCGUGUUUUUAUAAAAAAA